UACGGGGGGGGCAAGCGUUGUUCGGAAUUACUGGGCGUAAAGAGCUCGUAGGUGGUUUGUCGCGUUGUCCGUGAAAACUCACAACUCAAUUGUGGGCGUGCGGGCGAUACGGGCAGACUGGAGUACUGCAGGGGAGACUGGAAUUCCUGGUGUAGCGGUGAAAUGCGCAGAUAUCAGGAAGAACACCCGUGGCGAAAGCGGCUCUCUGGAACGGUACUGACGCUGAGACGCGAAAGCGUGGGGAGCGAACAGG
rnacentral:rRNA from 1 species